GGGUUAGUUUUUUGGGGUUCUAGAUCCAGAUUUUGGGGUUCCAGGUUGAAAUUUUUGGGAUUCUGGGUGUGAAUUUUUUCAGGUUCUGGAUUUGAAUUUUUUGGGGUCCUAGUUCCAGAUUUUUCGGGGUUCCAGGUUAAAAUUUUGGGGUUCUAGGUCGGGAUUUUGGGGUUCUGAGUUUGA